AAGCAUUCUCUAUCCAUUUGCUCGGCUUCUAUCAUAACUUGCGAGUCAAUUGAAGUCGGGAAUAAGUCGCCUAGCUUGCUUUCUGCCAUACAAGUCUUGGAAUACUGAAGGAGGUCCCUCACUCUCAAAAAUAGCGAGAUAAGGGACAAUUUCACAGAAUGGUCGAAGUCCAAGUCCUGGUAUUAAAUAACUGGAAUCGACCGUGGAUAAACACGUUCACCAACCACAUUUUACCGCAAGCAAACCAUGUAUCAGCAUAUGUGGCAUGCUGCACGGCAACACGUACGAAAACAAAUAUUAAAAAAGAA